rnacentral:rRNA from 1 species
ACGAACGCUGGCGGCAUGCCUAACACAUGCAAGUCGAACGAGACCUUCGGGUCUAGUGGCGCACGGGUGCGUAACGCGUGGGAACCUGCCCUUAGGUUCGGAAUAACUCCCCGAAAGGGGUGCUAAUACCGGAUAAUGUCUUCGGACCAAGGAUUUAUCGCCUUUGGAUGGGCCCGCGUUGGAUUAGCUAGUUGGUAGGGUAAAAGCCUACCAAGGCGACGAUCCAUAGCUGGUCUGAGAGGAUGAUCAGCCACACUGGGACUGAGACACGGCCCAGACUCCUACGGGAGGCAGCAGUGGGGAAUAUUGGACAAUGGGCGAAAGCCUGAUCCAGCAAUGCCGCGUGAGUGAUGAAGGCCUUAGGGUUGUAAAGCUCUUUUACCCGGGAUGAUAAUGACAGUACCGGGAGAAUAAGCUCCGGCUAACUCCGUG